AGGACGAACGCUGGCGGCGUGCUUAACACAUGCAAGUCGAGCGGAAAGGCCCUUCGGGGUACUCGAGCGGCGAACGGGUGAGUAAUACGUGAGCAACCUGCCCUUAGCUCUGGGGAUAGCUCCGGGAAACCGAUUAAUACCGGGAUAUGACCUAGGCCGACAUCGGCCGUGGUGGAAAGUUUUUUCGGCUAGGGGAUGGACUCGCGGCCUAUCAGCUAGUUGUGGGGUAAUGGCCUACCAAGGCGACGACGGGUA
rnacentral:rRNA from 1 species